GAUUCUAUUAGUUAUUAUGAGGUUAUCAGUCGUAGUUAUCGAGUCUACAUAUAUAGUGGUCUAUUGCUAUGAGUGAAAAGAUUGAGUCUCUUCAUAAGAAUUAGAUAUGAAAGUUAGUAAAAUACCAUAGGGUCAAAGUUGGGUGCAAACGAGUCUUUAAGAAGAAAGAAAGAAUCUUAAAAGUUGAAGUAGCAAUGUUCAAAGCACAUUUGGUCGCAAAGAACUAUAAUGGAAGAUAAGGUAC
rnacentral:lncRNA from 1 species